GCAUAACCUAGAGUUGUAAGGCUUUGCCUGCUAUCUCUUACCCAUGUCUUUUGAGUACCUUACGUUUCCUCGGUGGGUUCGCCCACCGAUUGGACAAAUUUAAACCCUUUGCAGUUGAAAUCAGCGUCUGAAAAAACUUAAUAGUUACAACUUUCAACAACGGAUCUCUUGGUUCUGGCAUCGAUGAAGAACGCAGCGAAAUGCGAUAAGUAGUGUGAAUUGCAGAAUUCAGUGAAUCAUCGAAUCUUUGAACGCACAUUGCGCCCCUUGGUAUUCCAUGGGGCAUGCCUGUUCGAGCGUCAUUUGUACCUUCAAGCUCUGCUUGGUGUUGGGUGUUUGUCUCCUGUAGACUCGCCUCAAAACAAUUGGCAGCCGGCGUAUUGAUUUCGGAGCGCAGUACAUCUCGCGCUUUGCACUCAUAACGACGACAUCCAAAAGUACAUUUUUACACUCUUGACCUCGGAUCAGGUAGGGAUACCCGCUGAACUUAAGCAUAUCAAUAAGCGGGAGGGAAGGAUCAUUACCUAGAGUUGUAGGCUUUGCCUGCUAUCUCUUACC
rnacentral:rRNA from 1 species